UUUAACCAAACAGUCCCAAACCCACUCCAAAAAACCGGUCUCCCCACCAACGAUCCAAAGGACCCCGUUUCAGUUAUUUUCAAUCUGGAUCGUUGAUCUGAGUUGAUCAAACGGUCCAGAAUUGGUUUGUUCUUAAUAUAUAACUAUCUGAACCUCCACCCGCACCCCCUCUCCAAUCGUCUCUCCUAUUCCCCAAUCCUCAGAGAUGCCUAUCCGAACCCUAGAGUGCCACCCUCAAAACCUUGCCGUCUCUGGUGGCGGCGCCGGUCCCAAUCAACCCCAAAUCAACACCCCAAACUCCCCGUCAUCCCAUGGUUCUAAAUCUUCACUUCGUUGGAUAAAAAAUCUAAACCCUAAGAUCCCCCAAAGCACCCGAUUCGAGAUUUCUUGAAGAUUUAGGCCUAUUUUGACUCUAUUUGUCUGUUCUUGAUAACGACACUUGACUAAUAUCUAAAUGGGCCGAAGGUUGGAAGACUUUGAAGAUUCGAUCUCCGUUUCUUAUUAGUCUGAGAUUUCUUUAGGUAUUCUUAUUUUCUUUACCUUUAUUAGUCAAUUUCUGUUUAUUUUGUUCUCUUAUCAUCUUCUUCUACUCUUUCUUUUAUUUUAUUUUUUUAUUUCAUCUCUUCAAACCAUCCGUAUUUGCAUGUUAGUUUUAGCUUUUUUUUAAUUAGUGUCGGUUUUCCGUUUCUAAGUUAGUUGUGUUGAUUUUUGUAUCUAUUCUGGGCCUAAAUUUUCGAGUCUUUAAGGCUUUGAAUAUGAAUAUUUGGGAGUUUUGAGCUUUCAAUAUUGAUUUGGCUUUUGAAAAUCAGAAAUUCCAAAAAGGAAAUUGAAUUGGGUUUUUAUAGACCUAUUAACUCUUUCGACUGGACCAGUUCGAUCCAUAUUCUGUCUUAUUUUAGGGUAAUAACAAGGUCCUGGAAGAUGGCUUAGAAAUUGAGGAUAAGAGAAUCUUUGAAUAACUGAAUUAGGAAGAUUCUUGAAAGCUGGGGUAGGGAUUUAACUGAAGUUCUUAAUAUUACACUAAGGAUUUCUAUGUAAAAACCAAAAUUUCAAUAGGUUCUAAAUGAAAACACUAAUCUCUUUAGGCUACCCUAAUAGCUUGCCUGUAAUGACAUCAUUACUUGGGAUUAAAUUCAGAAAAAAUAGAGAUUAAAGACACUGCAAAAGAAAACGGCUGGGUAUUUCUUAGAAAAUCUGGUGAUAACAUUGAAAAACUCUGGAUUCUUUUGUUAAAUUGCUCAACUCUCACUAGGUUUCAGCUUCUUGAUCUUCUGUGUUGGUUUAAAACUUCUGAAAAGGGUUUCAAGUCUUGGCAUUUGGUUAGAAAUAUCUUUAGUUUGGGAUUUUAAGAGUGAUUCGAGCUGCUGAUUUUAUUACUUUUCCAUUGCUAGGAAUUAAGCUGAUUUUGUGGCUAUUUGUUCGAUAAUUCCUUACUUGUUUGGUUCCUUUUCCAUUUCCAAGUACAUGAUCUCUAAAUUUUACCUUAUGUGAUGGCUUGACGUGAAAAAUCAAAAUGAAAAGCAGGAGCUUAAAGCAUAGCAUUAGCUCCAUUUAGGGUUCAGUUGCAUUUCUUUUAACAGUUUCUUACCACCUGAUGUGUUAUGUCUUCUAGUUGAGUUAUUGUAGUGAAUUUUUUUUAUUAUUGUAUGUAACUCGGGACUAUUAUAAGACUUGGGGAGUGGUUUGUAAAUUGAAUUAGUAUUCAGACCCUAUAUUCAAUCAUGAUGAAUCCUGUAACGUGAACUGUAUUGGAUCUUGUCUGCUAUGUAGUUCGUUUAAGCUUUUGUAGCAUGUUAGUUGUGUUUGGAUAGUGCUGUGUUCAUGUAAUGGGUUAGUUAAAUGUGUUGUUAAAUUUAGUGGGCACAGAAAUUAUGUUUAAAGGGAAGGAAAUGGUCAAAUACUGUAAGAAUUGAGCCAUACGCUGAUCUGAUCUUGAUUACGUAUGAGCAUAUUUAAGAGUGGAUAUUAAAAAUGCAGAUUGGCUAAUCAGCUGUUUGAGUGUUUCAAUAGCAAAAUUUGAGCAAAUAAAGGUAUCGUUCAAUCUCAUGUUUUCAUAUCGUAUUAGUUGAUUCAUAUUUAAUUGGUACUGAAGUGUUUGGGUUCUAAAGAUUAGGCUUACAUAUGGCCCAAUUUGCCUAAAAAGCCAUGGUUUGGACUUUUUCAUGUUUCUGUUAAGCAAUUAGAGCUCAUCUUGAGCCCAUGUCCUAAGACAUUGGCCAAUGGAAUCCUGUACUUUGCCUUAUUCGGGCUUGCGCUUUUUAUUUCCAUCCAAGUGUUGUUGAUGGCCUAAGCCGUUCCUUCUCUUUUAAACAAUCUGCCAUGAUUCUCUUCGAGACUUUGUUUGUUUUUUAGUUUGGACGUUAGUUUUACAGUAGGAUUCAAACUACUCCUUUGCUUAAUUAAUUUUAAUUCCUUUAAUAAUUGAGGUAAGUCAUAUUAUAUAAUGCAAACCUUAAUCGAGAUUUCAGACAUUUAGACAUGAGGUGUGCCAUCUAUAAGAAGACAUAGUCUAUGGCUCUCAAAAGCUUAGUUUUGAAUUUUCUUUAUCAAAUUAGAAUUAAUGUGUGAUGUGCAAAAUAAGAUUUCAAAAUGCAUGGCCCUCGCUUAACUAAUAUCUUUAUCUUUAGAAAUCGAGGCGUGCUAUUUAGUUGAAUUUUCUUUGGCACUCACAAAAUUGGUAGUGCGUAGUUAUUUUAGGCAUGCUAAUUUAAAAAUUACCUUCAUAAACUCGGGUGUGCAUUUGUUGUGACCCAAAUCCAAAUCUCAACAACGUUAAAUAAAAUAUGUCUCGGACUGCGGUGUAUUUCAUGUAGUAUGGUCCAAAGACGCAUUUUAAAUGACGUUGAAAUCUUCUUAAAAUUAAUUAAAAGUGGUACCAUAGGUUAAAAAAUUUAUUAAAAUCAGAUAAUAGGUCAAUUGUAAUAGUUUAAGUGACCUUGCUAGAACCACAGAAUCUGGGGAUGCCUUACACCUUCUCUCGGGUUAAUUGAAUUCCCUAUUCAGAGUUUUUGGUUCGUAGACUUCAAGAGGGAAUGUUGAAUUUUCCUCGAUUUGGGAUUUUAAAAUAAAUCGGUGACUUGGGACAUCCGAAAAUAAACUAUUCCAAGUGGUGACUCUAAAUAAAAAUGAAUAAAUAAUCCUAUUUCAAAUAAUGUCACUUAAAGUGAAAAAACUCCUUUAUACACCUUUGCUUGGGUAAAAAGAAGGUGUGGCAUAAUAAAUAAUGUAGUGUCUAAUGGGAGGUCUAAGUGUAAGUCACGUUAGAAAAUUCUUUAAUGGGCUAAAUUUCCAAAUGAGUUUGCACAAGUCCCUACUUUUAACAUAUAUAUAUAAGGUCUUAUAUGAUGAACAACCUAUCAAAUUAAAGCUAUUCGAGUCUAGUUCCCAACGCUUCAAACCAUCUGUCAUUUGGAUAUUCCUACAGAAAGUUUUGAUCAAAUUACCAAAGGCUAGAUUUGCAAACAAUUUGCGAUUGCAAAACGACCAUGUGGACCGCAUAUGUGUCGCAUAGUGAAGCAGUGUCAGGUAAAACAUUAUGUUGUCACAUGUUGAUUAUGCUAUCACAUUUUGAUUAUGUUAUAGCAUAAUUGCAAAAAAAUUUUGAAUUCGAGGGUCAUUUUUAAAAAUUUUCAUAUCCGGAACCACUUUGAUAAAUAAGCUUUAGGGCUUCAUUAAGUACUACUUUUACACUAAAUCUAGAGAAAGGUGAGAGCAUUUAGAGAGAGAAAGAGGAACCUAGCCUCCCAAUCAUCAAUCUUGCACAAACCCUAAAGAAUCAAGCCUGCAAAUCUCUAAUUCACUAUCUUCCAAGUAUGUCCUACUUGUACUAUUUCAUAUAUGUGAUUAUGAGUUCAAAAAUAUAAUAUAGGGUUAGAAAUAGGCAAUACAUUUGACACUACGCUAUAGUAUGUCGGAUUAAUGAACUAUUUUAGGUAGUACUUGAUGAAAUUGGAUAAGGGAGGAAGGAAUUUGCAUUGUAAAACCUCGUAGUCUACUUCACUUGUUAGGUGUUUGAUGAAAUUCCUAAGAGAGUUACACUGUGGGUAAUCUUCCUAAUUAUUUAUCAAUUUCUGCUAUUUCCUCAUUGAUUGUUAUUGCUAGAGGUGGUGGUGUAUUCUAAAAACUUAACGAAAUUUUAAACAAGGAAUGUAUGACUAAAAACCUGUCUCUUAUAAAUUAAGCUUCCAUGGUGCCAGUGCAAAUGUUGCAAGUUCGAAACGUGAUUGAUGCAGUACUUGUUAUGAUAAGUGAAUUGUUAUUGUGAAAAUAUAUGUGGUACGUACUUCUUCAUGUGUUUAAUGUGUUAUUCCUUGUAAAUGGAGGAUGUGUGGAAAACAUGAUCUAUGUGCUAAAUGCGUAAAUGAUAUGCCAAGGUUACUUUGGGAAUAAUAUGCCAAACUUGAUGAAUUCCUCUCUAUGCUUAUGUUUUAAAUUGCUUUUGUAUGCGCCUAUGAUCUUAAGUGGCAAAGUAAUUUUUUAUAUGGGAGUAAUGUGAAAUGUGAGUUAUGGAAUGCGGAAAUUGUGGCCCCAAAUGCCGAUAACCUAAUACAUGUGUAACCUAAGAUUGGAGUGAGAUGAAUAGCAGAAAAUAGUAACGUCUCGGGGAGAAGGUUUAGCCGGCCAGACCGUUGUCGGACGCCAUGUGAUACACACAUGGUGGUAAUGUAUUGAUGAAAUAAGAGUAACAUCUUAGCAAAACAGCUUAGCCGAUCGGGCCGUGAUCAGACUCCGCUCGAAGAAGCGGUGGUAAUAUGGAUGAUAAUGCAACGAAAUGGAAUGCUCCAAUCUAAAUUUUCAGAAACUAUGUGAAAAUCAUGUGAAGCUCCAUAUAUUGUUUAUAUGGUACUUAUUUGAAACUUUGUUAUCUUUAUCAUUUCCUCUUUAUUCUUGUAUGAAAGUUCUUUCUAAUUAGAAUGUGUUUAGUUAUACAUACUAGUGCUAUUCAAUGGCACUAACGCCUCUUUUACUGGAAACGCUACGUCUGUAAAUGGAUGUAGGUGUUUCUAUAGCAGGAAAUGUUGGUCGCAACUACUGCUGCAUCAUCCUUUUAGCUGACUUGGUAAUCCCCACUUCGUUUCGGGGUCAUAUUUCAUCUAUUUAUCAUGUGCUUUGAAUUUGAGGUAUAGCCGGAGCCUUGUUACCGGCAUUUCCAUAUUACAUUACUCUUUUGUUUUGUUUAGAGGCUCUGUAGACAGGUCGCGGGUAGUGUCGGAUAUUGGAAUUAAAGUAGAUAUAUUGAUGUUUGGCAAAGAUUUAUAAAACUUGUAAGAUUUUUAUAAUUAUGAUUUAGGCUGCAAAUGAAAAUGAAAUGGAAGUUGUUAAUGAAAAACAUAAUAAGUGUGAUUACUGGAGUCCAUCUCCUAUUUAUUCAU
rnacentral:lncRNA from 1 species